rnacentral:rRNA from 1 species
ACUUGUUGCCUCGGCGGAUCAGCCCGCUCCCGGUAAAACGGGACGGCCCGCCAGAGGACCCCUAAACUCUGUUUCUAUAUGUAACUUCUGAGUAAAACCAUAAAUAAAUCAAAACUUUCAACAACGGAUCUCUUGGUUCUGGCAUCGAUGAAGAACGCAGCAAAAUGCGAUAAGUAAUGUGAAUUGCAGAAUUCAGUGAAUCAUCGAAUCUUUGAACGCACAUUGCGCCCGCCAGUAUUCUGGCGGGCAUGCCUGUUCGAGCGUCAUUUCAACCCUCAAGCACAGCUUGGUGUUGGGACUCGCGUUAAUUCGCGUUCCUCAAAUUGAUUGGCGGUCACGUCGAGCUUCCAUAGCGUAGUAGUAAAACCCUCGUUACUGGUAAUCGUCGCGGCCACGCCGUUAAACCCCAACUUCUGAAUGUUGACCUCGGAUCAGGUAGGAAUACCCGCUGAACUUAAGCA